rnacentral:rRNA from 1 species
UAUAGAGGGGGCAAGCGUUGUUCGGAAUUACUGGGCGUAAAGGGCGCGUAGGCGGCCUUCUAAGUCGAACGUGAAAUCCCCGGGCUCAACCCGGGAACUGCGUCCGAUACUGGAAGGCUUGAAUUCGGGAGAGGGAUGCGGAAUUCCAGGUGUAGCGGUGAAAUGCGUAGAUAUCUGGAGGAACACCGGUGGCGAAGGCGGCAUCCUGGACCGGCAUUGACGCUGAGGCGCGAAAGCCAGGGGAGCAAACGGG